UCAUGGGGUUUAGGGCUUCAAUAUAUGAGUCUGAGAGGGGCAUGGUUCUGUCCCUACCAGCUUCUUGUCCUUUCCUGUUUAGUCUGGGCAAAGGGCAAAGUCCAACUUCAGAGAAUCCUACCACAGUUGCUUCAGUGCAUUCCUGAGUGAGGCCGUGGCAUCCCUCUAGGAAAGGGGAUGCUAGGACACAGUGAUGUGGAGGGUGGACACGGCAAGCAAAAGAAUCCCUCCUCCAGGGGAGAAGCAGCGACAGACUUGGGCGGGAGCAGUAAUGAGGAUGAAAUGUCACCGGCACAACCCUGAACCUGGUUUAUAACCUCGGGAAUAAAUGGCGACCGAGGAUUUGUUUACACAGCAGAGGGGAGCUUGAGAUCUGUGGACAUUUACAACUUUCUAAAUGUGUAAUUCCUUCAGGGACAGCAAAAUAACCCACUAUUUUCCAACGCUAUUAAAUAUUGAUAAGUAGGAGAUGGCCUCUCUUUAAAAGCGGAGAUUUUUAAAAGGCGAUUCCUGCGUCGUGGGCCACAGAUUUGAGAGAAUCCCUGACCGCUAUGUUGAAAUAAGUGGCAUUUAGCUGCUCAGCGUGAUGAAGUGCUAAAUGUGGUUUGUGCCAGAUUUAAUUGCCGCUACAGAUGACAGCAAGGCUCUGUCCCUUGGCCUGAACUUGGACUGCAGCUUGGCCGAUUCUGCGGUUUGGUCAUUCUUGCUACGGCUGCGGAUCACUGCAGGAUUGAUUUGAUUGGUAUUGACCGUGAAGAGAGCUCCACGGAACGGUUGGGCUGGACCAAAGUCUAGUUCAGAUGUUCAGUUGAGCUACAACCAUUGUCUAAAUGUAUAUUUUAAAAUACACAUUCCAAACAAAAAAGAACGACGAAGGAGAAAGCAUCGUGAAGAAGAUCUCCGUGGUUUCUUUCUAAGCAAAUCAAACGAGGCAGUAGAACGUCAAGGCUCUUGAGCAGGCGGGUGUUUCUUGAGUGAAGAGCAUAGUACUGAGAAUCCUCCUUCCUUCCUGCGUUGCUGGAACAAGCAUCUAUUGACCCAUCUUGACCAUUUCCUCUCUCUUGAGUAUCCCACCUACAAUGGACCCCGGAUUCUUGGAACCGAAGACCUGUGUCUUCUAGUCUAUGCCCUCUAGAGACACAAAAAUGCACUUACGCUGUGCGGACCACUGGCUUUCCAGGCUUCUCCUUCAUACCAUCCGGCAAGCGAGUCUCCACAGCCACGCCUACACCAUUCUCUGUUCCUUCACUCCCGUGCUGGGAAUGCUAUCGAUCAAGUUCCAGAAGCUCUUGGGAAAACCUGUUGGUAGCACAUAAUAAAUGGAAAA